UACGUAGGCAGCGAGCGUUGUUCGGAGUUACUGGGCGUAAAGAGUGCGUAGGCGGUGCUCCAAGUCUGGUGUGAAAUCUCCCGGCUUAACCGGGAGGGUGCGCCGGAAAGCUGGGGUGCUGGAGUGUGGGAGAGGUAAGCGGAAUUCCCGGUGUAGCGGUAGAAAUGCGUAGAUAGUCGGGAGGAACACCUGCGGUGUAGACGGCUUACUGGACCAUAACUGACGCUGAGGCACGAAAGCGUGGGUAGCAAACAGG
rnacentral:rRNA from 1 species